rnacentral:rRNA from 1 species
GAUGAACGCUGGCGGCGUGCCUAAUACAUGCAAGUCGAGCGAACAGAUGAGGAGCUUGCUCCUCUGACGUUAGCGGCGGACGGGUGAGUAACACGUGGAUAACCUACCUAUAAGACUGGGAUAACUUCGGGAAACCGGGGCUAAUACCGGAUAAUAUAUUGAACCGCAUGGUUCAAUAGUGAAAGACGGUUUUGCUGUCACUUAUAGAUGGAUCCGCGCCGCAUUAGCUAGUUGGUAAGGUAACGGCUUACCAAGGCAACGAUGCGUAGCCGACCUGAGAGGGUGAUCGGCCACACUGGAACUGAGACACGGUCCAGACUCCUACGGGGGGCAGCAGUAGGGAAUCUUCCGCAAUGGGCGAAAGCCUGACGGAGCAACGCCGCGUGAGUGAUGAAGGUCUUCGGAUCGUAAAACUCUGUUAUUAGGGAAGAACAAAUGUGUAAGUAACUAUGCACGUCUUGACGGUACCUAAUCAGAAAGCCACGGCUAACUACGUG